rnacentral:lncRNA from 1 species
AGACAACGGUGUAGAGAUGGCGCGACCAGGAGACGUUCGCGGUGGCGCAUGAGUCGUUCUUCUUCUUUUUCGUUUUGGGUUCAUCUUUGGCAAGAAAGCGGAGGCUCUCUUCUUCCUUUCUUUCUUUUCGAGUUCAGAUGUGAUUUGACGUAGGGAGGGGCAGUUGACGCGACUUUGUCCCCAUGGCGUGACGGUCCCUGUUCAUGGAGGUGGCAACAACAGCGUCUCUGCAAGGUUUCUAACUCGAACAACUUUGUAGCACAGGGAUUCAUUCUCGCUGUUGACACGUCUCAUGAUUUAGGGUUUCGAUUUAGGGCUUUUACGAGAACUCUGUUGCUUUCCAAAUUCAUUAUGGCUUUGUGUUUUCCUUAGGGCGAGAAUGCUCUGCGUCUCGAGCAGAGGCACAACCUACAACGGCG